rnacentral:rRNA from 1 species
CCUACGGGGUGCAGCAGUGGGGGAUAUUGCACAAUGGGGGAAACCCUGAUGCAGCGACGCCGCGUGUGGGAAGACGGUCCUCUGGAUUGUAAACCACUGUCCCCAGGGACGAAGAUGACUGUACCAGGGGAGGAAGCUCCGGCCAACUACGUGCCAGCAGCCGCGGUAAUCUGUAGGGAGCGAGCGUUGUCCGGCAUUACUGGGUGUAAAGGGCGCGUAGGCGGGAAUGCAAGUUGGGGGUAAAAUCUACCGGCUCAACCGGUAACCGCACUGAAAAAUGCAGUUCUUGAGUGAAGUAGAGGCAGGCGGAAUUCCUAGUGUAGCGGUGAAAUGCGUAGAUAUUAGGAAGAACACCAGUGGCGAAGGCGGCCUGCUGGGCUUUUACUUACGCUGAGGCUCGAAAGUGUGGGGAGCAAACAGGAUUAGAUACCCUUGUAGUC